AGUAAAUAGAUACCCGGGUAGUCCACGCCGUAAACGAUGAGUACUAGGUGUAGGAGGUAUCGACUCCUUCUGUGCCGCAGUUAAACACAAUAAGUACUCCGCCUGGGAAGUACGGUCGCAAGAUUAAAACUCAAAGGAAUUGACGGGGGCCCGCACAAGCAGCGGAGCAUGUGGUUUAAAUUCGAAGCAACGCGAAGAACCUUACCUAGACUUGACAUCUCCUGAAUAGUGUAGAGAUGCAUGAAGCCCUUCGGGGCGAGGAAGACAGGUGGUGCAUGGUUGUCGUCAGCUCGUGUCGUGAGAUGUUGGGUUAAGUCCCGCAACGAGCGCAACCCUUAUUACUAGUUGCUACCAUUAAGUUGAGCACUCUAGUGAGACUGCCCGGGUUAACCGGGAGGAAGGCGGGGAUGACGUCAAAUCAUCAUGCCCCUUAUGUCUAGGGCAACACA
rnacentral:rRNA from 1 species